AGCACGGAAGGGGCGCUGGCCUCCGAAAGGGUUUCUGUACCGUUCGGUGUCGGGUGCCGCCACUGACUCGGCUCCCGGGGCCCGAAUUCCUUCUAGGGCGGUUGCAUCGAAUACAGAACGGCUGGGAUCGGUUCUCGCCUUCCCUGCCCCUGCUGUUCCUGUAGCGGGGACUGGGGCUGGGUGAGGGGCGGUUCCAGGGCGGGGACUGCGAAGUUGGGCGGGUACGAGUCAGUACCCCUCCCCCUUCCCAGCGCGUCUCAGAAAGUGCGCGACCGGGGAAGGAUGCGGGGUGCUUACCCGGGAGGCGGGUGGCUUCCCGCGCAGCGCGAGCGGCUACGGCUCGCGAGCCGCCUCCGCCCAACUUUCUCCCUCGGCUUUCCUAGUUUAUUUUCUUUCAGGCGCCCUAAUGGGCGGUUUUGACUUCUUGGUGGCACUGCGUAAUAAGCCAGUGUCACCCCUCUGACUCCCGUCCCCGCACGCGUGAUCUUGUUAAGGAAUUAGUCCUUUUGCGCGGAGUUCGGUUGAAUGAGAAGAAUAGGUUGGCAGCACAGACUUGUGAGAGGAAGUAGAUGAAAAAGAGUCUUUGGCACUUGUUUAGCCGGAAUCUGAGAAUAAUUUUGGAAAGUAUUCUCUGGAACAAGGGGGUGGGCAGAAGCUGGCUCCUGUAAAAGGACUCCCUACAGGAAAACGGAGACCUGUAAUGUAGAACGACCGCCUCGCCUUACGGAUGGGAAGCUGAGGACAGUCGUCGCUGUAAAACUUUGACAGGUGCCCAAUAUGAGAUGAAAAGAACAAGGGAAACGGGCCUAAGUCGUGUGAUAAGGGGGUAAGCCAGUCCGGUGACAACAGAGGGCAGGGAGGGGCACACAGAGCCUGAGGGGAAAACAUCAAAGCAUCCCUGAGGAGGUGACAUGCCUAACUCCUGCAAAGGAGAGUAAGAAAAGCAUUCUUUAUCGAGGUUGAGGUGGUGGAAUGUGGGCGACGAGGAGGGCAGAAGAGUUCAGAAUUGAAGAUUAGAAUCUGGAUAUGUUAAGCAACUUUUUGUGCUUUGGGGUGUUUGUUAGUUUGUUUGUUUUUGUCUUCGAAGCUCCAGGAAAGAAGCACCCCUCUGAAACUGGCCAGUAAGUCGUGUGAGACAGUGAUGGAGAAGACAGUAUGAGAAACAUGAAAGUUUUCGUUGUCUAAAAGGUAAUGUUGACAGAAUUCAAUAAAAAACUUUAAAAGAGCUUUUG
rnacentral:lncRNA from 1 species